CCUAGGCUGCUGCUGUGUAGACAGUAUCUACCAUUGUUCCUAGGCUGCUGCUGUGUAGACAGUAUCUACCAUACACUCCCAUUCCCCGGGACUGCCGUUUGGUCAGUCCUUCCCCACUGUGACAGAGUAAGACUCUCUGAAACCAUUAGCCAAAAUAAAUCACAGAUGUGUAAAAAGUAGCUAAUGUAGACUCUAUUCCAUCAUUUGUUUCAAUUGAUAAGACUUUUCUUUUUUGUAUAAUAUUGUUUAUUUAAUGUUUGUGAGUGUGUGUGUGUGUGUUCCUAGAUCAAGACAGUCUGCUCUGCUUCUUGUAUAAAACAGCCAUUCUACUCUCAGUAAACAUAUCAUUGCUAAACCAGGCAGUGGUGGCACAUGCCUUUAAUCCCAGCACUUGGAAGGCAGAGACAGGUGGAUCUCUCAGUUUGAGGCCAGCUUGGUCUACAGAGUGAGUUUCAAGGACAAGUGGGGCUAUACAAAGAAACCCUGUCUC
ensembl:lincRNA Gm42564 predicted gene 42564